rnacentral:rRNA from 1 species
UCCAGGCGGAUGACUUCACGCGUUAGCUACGUUACUCAGGAUGUAAAUCCCGAACAACUAGUCAGCAUCGUUUAGGGCGUGGACUACCAGGGUAUCUAAUCCUGUUUGCUCCCCACGCUUUCGUGCAUGAGCGUCAGUGUUAUCCCAGGGGGCUGCCUUCGCCAUUGGUAUUCCUCCACAUAUCUACGCAUUUCACUGCUACACGUGGAAUUCUACCCCCCUCUGACACACUCUAGCUAUACAGUCACAGGCGCCAUUCCCAGGUUAAGCCCGGGGAUUUCACGCCUGUCUUGUAUAACCGCCUGCGCACGCUUUACGCCCAGUAAUUCCGAUAAACGCUCGCACCCUACGUAUUACCGCGGCUGCUGGCACGUAGUUAGCCGGUGCUUAUUCUUCAGGUACCGUCAUUCCCGGACUGUGUUAGAGCCGGUGUUUCUUCCCUGACAAAAGAGCUUUACAACCCGAAGGCCUUCUUCACUCACGCGGCAUUGCUGGAUCAGGGUUUCCCCCAUUGUCCAAAAUUCCCCACUGCUGCCUCCCGUA